UCCCAAAUCAACCCCACAUUCUGAGAGACCAUAGACAUUAUUGUUCCUUUUCACUUUUGUUCACAGCAGUAAAAUCUAAAUCAUGCUGCUGGCAAACAAUACGUCUAAUAAUGAGGCAACCUGUAUGAAACCUUACGACGGAGCCGUAACCCAACUUCAGUCACCAGUCUUCUAACCUGCGGCGAUGCCUUUCAACUUCCUCAGAGGUGAAUUCUUACACAAUCCUCCUUCCAGCAAUCCAGCAGUCCUCAUUAUGGUCACAAAUCCACCACUGCUUUAUGAGCAUGCUCUGAACCCAUCUGUGUGAGCAGCUGGUGUUCUUGCAGGACGACACUGCCCCCUGAGCUCCUCGGUAUCACUUUUUUCAAGAUGUUUUUCACAUGUUCAGCCCUCCCACUGUGGUUGGACAGUGUCCUUGAGUUUGUAAAAGAAGUGGUGGUCAGAGGUAGAAGGAAAACCUGCUGCUUUAUGGCUCUGAAUGAAAACCUGCACCAUCUUGAAUGCUUCCUCCCUCUGGUUAAUGACGACCCUAAUCAGCCAUUGGGCUCUGUCCCUGGAGCCGGCAUGGACCCGUUGGCAGAUGCCACUACCAGGCGCCACAUCACCGCUGCUUCGCCUUCUCACACGGCUGAGUUACCUGCUUGUACCAGCCCUUUCACACUUAUCGUAGGGGUCUCCAUGGUGAGGCGUAUGUCGGUCCG